GGGGAGUUUCAGAAGUGGAACGGCACAUCAUGGAUAAAGGAUACGGAGGAAGAAACCUCGUUGCUGGAAGCCUGGAAGAUGUAUCGGGUGUUGCUGAACCGAGUUGAUACAUCAAC
rnacentral:sRNA from 1 species